rnacentral:misc_RNA from 1 species
UUUCCGUAGGUGAACCUGCGGAAGGAUCAUUCAUAAUAAAGUGUUUUAUGGCACUUUUUAAAAAUCCAUAUCCACCUUGUGUGCAAUGUUAGAUCUCGUCAAUCUUGGCGAGAUUUUUAUACAUCAACUCAUUCUUUAACUAAUUUGUCUGAAAAAUAUUAUGAAUACUUAAUUCAAAAUACAACUUUCAACAACGGAUCUCUCGGCUCUCGCAUCGAGAAGAACGCAGC